rnacentral:rRNA from 1 species
CCUACGAGUGGCAGCAGUGGGGAAUAUUGCACAAUGGGCGCAAGCCUGACGCAGCGACGCCGCGUGAGGGAUGAAGGUCUUCGGAUCGUAAACCUCUGUCAGCAGGGAAGAACGGUCACUGUGUUAAUAAGUAGUGAAUUGACGGUACCUGCAACAGAAGCACCGGCUAACUCCGUGCCAGCAGCCGCGGUAAUACGGAGGGUGCGAGCGUUAAUCGGAAUUACUGGGCGUAAAGCGCCCGCAGGCGGUAGGUCAAGUCAAGGGUGAAAUCCCCGCGCUGAACGUGGGAACUGCCUUUGAAACUGGCAAACUGGAGUGUGUGAGAGGAUAGUGGAAUUCCAGGUGUAGGAGUGAAAUCCGUAGAGAUGUGGAGGAAAAUCAGUGGCGAAGGCGACUAUCUGGCACAUAACUGACGCUGAGGUGCGAAAGCGUGGGUAGCAAACAGGAUUAGAUACCCUGGUAGUC